AAUAAUCCAUAUGCAAACAGUGCAUGCUGGAAUGCAAUGAUUAUAACAUACAUUCUACUUACUUUGCUUUUUGCCAUUUAUAAGCUUCAUUAAAAAGAUCCAGAAAGAGGUAACCAGUUGAAUGAUGCUCGGCUCAGACAAGAAAAACCAACUUUAAAUUCUACCUACAAACUUACACCCCAGAAUGUCCGGAAAGUGCUCUUUACAAACUAACAUUAUUUAUAUCCGUUUUAGAAAUAAAACAACUCAUUUCUUUUUCUGAGCUGUACAUUACAAUUACAAACCUUCAACUCUACCACCCUACUCACCCCACCCCACCCCUAAAAAUCCACCUCCAAUUCUCAUUGGCCCACAUAGUUCCGGCCCACAUGGUAUCAGUAGGUGUGUCCCUCCCAGCAGGCCCUCUCAUUGGCUGCAAAGAAACAGCGUUUAUAGGCCGUGAUUUGGGGGGUUGUCAAACUCCACGCCUUCGGUCUUUGCAUCCACCAAUAGACCCAGGUGCUGGCACUGGCGGCUACUCUGCUAUUCAAAGGGCAAGCUGGUCGCCUGAGCGCCUACCCCAGAAAGAGGCGCUCCGAGAAGGGAGAGGGAUGGGAAGGGAGAAAGGAGCUCCGGCUGUGCGCCCGCUCUCCCCUCACGCUGGAACCCCACCAAACGUGCACACAGGCAUUUUCCGAGCUACAAAUAAGAAAGAUGGUCCUUGCUUGGAGAAACAAUGAAAAAAGCAAAGUACAGCACCUAUGCUGCCGGAAGUAAUUCUACAGGAGUCCAGAGAGUGUGCAUUGAUGGAGCAAGGUAGGGAGGAGAAGGGAGGUUGUGUUGAGGUGGGGGUUGAAAUGGGCUUAGGGAGAAAGUGACACACCAAAUUUUGAAUAAUAAUGGUUUUUCUUCAGGUGUGUAGUGAGAGGAGGUUGGAGAGAAUCCAUUUCAAACUGAGGGAGCCUAGACUCUGCAGAUGGGUUUGAAACACAGUCUGACCUGUUUGGGAAACUGCCAGGAGUUCAUCAAGGCUAAAGAAUGGCCUACAGAGGCAGAAAGUGGCUGAAAAGGUUAGACAGAGCCCAACUCUCUGGUGGCUUUCUAGGCCCCUGGGAAAGGAGUCUGGACUUUACCCUGAGGCCCACUGGAAACCAUUGAAAAGACUUAGGCGGUAGAAAAACCACUAGAUUUACAUUUUAGGAGGCCCUACUGUAGCCACUUAGAAAAUAAAUUGGGAGAGAAAGGACCAGAUAGAAGACUAUUGAACAAGACCAAAUAAAAGACAAUAGGGACUGAGUAAAGGACAUAGCAGUAGGAAUGACUGCUUCAAAUGGAUUCAAGAAUUAAUCUCUGCAGGACCUGAUAGGCAAUUGGAGGGUGAGAAAGAGACAAAACAAAGAUGAUUUCUAUACAGGCAUAUUUUGUUUUAUUGUACAUUGCUAUAUUUCGAUUCAUAGAUAACUGAGUUUUUUAUAAAUUGAAGGUUUGUGGCAACCCUGCGUAUAGCAAGUCU
rnacentral:lncRNA from 1 species